rnacentral:rRNA from 1 species
GACGAACGCUGGCGGCGUGCUUAACACAUGCAAGUCGAACGGAAAGGCCCUGCUUUUGUGGGGUGCUCGAGUGGCGAACGGGUGAGUAACACGUGAGUAACCUGCCCUUGACUUUGGGAUAACUUCAGGAAACUGGGGCUAAUACCGGAUAGGAGCUCCUGCUACAUGGUGGGGGUUGGAAAGUUUCGGCGGUUGGGGAUGGACUCGCGGCUUAUCAGCUUGUUGGUGGGGUAGUGGCUUACCAAGGCUUUGACGGGUAGCCGGCCUGAGAGGGUGACCGGCCACAUUGGGACUGAGAUACGGCCCAGACUCCUACGGGAGGCAGCAGUGGGGAAUAUUGCAAAAUGGGCGGAAGCCUGAUGCAGCAACGCCGCGUGCGGGAUGACGGCCUUCGGGUUGUAAACCGCUUUCGCCUGUGACGAAGCGUGAGUGACGGUAAUGGGUAAAGAAGCACCGGCUAACUACG